GAAGCGGCAACAGCUCAAAUUUGAAAUCUGGCGCAAGCCCGAGUUGUAAUUUGUAGAGGAUGCUUCUGGGUAGCGGCCGGUCUAAGUUCCUUGGAACAGGACGUCACAGAGGGUGAGAAUCCCGUAUGUGACCGGCGCGCACCCUCCACGUAGCUCCUUCGACGAGUCGAGUUGUUUGGGAAUGCAGCUCUAAAUGGGAGGUAAAUUUCUUCUAAAGCUAAAUACCGGCCAGAGACCGAUAGCGCACAAGUAGAGUGAUCGAAAGAUGAAAAGCACUUUGGAAAGAGAGUUAAAAAGCACGUGAAAUUGUUGAAAGGGAAGCGCCUGCAACCAGACUUCGCGGCAGUGUUCCGCCGGUCUUCUGACCGGUUCACUCUCUGCCGCGAGGCCAUCAUCGUCUGGGGCCGCCGGAUAAGACUGGAGGAAUGUAGCUCCCCUCGGGGUGUGUUAUAGCCUCCGGUGAUGCGGCGCGUCCCGGGCGAGGUCCGCGCUUCGGCAAGGAUGAUGGCGUAAUGGUUGUCGGCGGCCCGUCUUGAAACACGGACCAAGGAGUCUAACAUCUAUGCGAGUGUUCGGGUGUCAAACCCCUACGCGUAAUGAAAGUGAACGGAGGUGGGAACUUUUUGUGCACCAUCGACCGAUCCUGAUGUCCUCGGAUGGAUUUGAGUAAGAGCAUAGCUGUUGGGACCCGAAAGAUGGUGAACUAUGCCUGAAUAGGGUGAAGCCAGAGGAAACUCUGGUGGA
rnacentral:rRNA from 1 species